UACAGAGGUGGCAAGCGUUGUUCGGAAUUACUGGGCGUAAAGGGCGCGUAGGCGGCCUCCUAAGUCGGACGUGAAAUCCCCGGGCUCAACCCGGGAACUGCGUCCGAUACUGGAAGGCUUGAAUCCGGGAGAGGGAUGUGGAAUUCCAGGUGUAGCGGUGAAAUGCGUAGAUAUCUGGAGGAACACCGGUGGCGAAGGCGACAUCCUGGACCGGUAUUGACGCUGAGGCGCGAAAGCCAGGGGAGCAAACGGG
rnacentral:rRNA from 1 species